AUAUAGGCAAUGAAAGGGAAAAGUAUUAUAGACUACAAUUUUCAGAGAGAGAAUAUCAACCGGCUGAAAGUAUUCUUAAAUAUGACUGUAAGAAAAACUACCCUGGAGCUAUGGUUUAUUAGCUUAUAGAUUUAUAAGUGAAAUGUCAUCGGUGAAAAUCGUUAAUAUUAUUAAGAUGAAUUGAAUUUUUAAUUCAAUUUGGGUGGAACCACGGAUAUAUGCAUUCGUCCCAAGC
rnacentral:ncRNA from 1 species